rnacentral:rRNA from 1 species
UUUCUCUCGAAAGAAUUGAGUGGGAGGAAAGUGGAACUUGAUGAGGUGAUAGUCACCCCUUCCGAACCGAAAAGUAGCGCAGCGCGGGAAAAUGUUCAUGUGGUGCCUACACCGACUGGGGAGGAAGUUAAUGAUGAUGAUCAUGAAACUUCAGAUCAAGUUACUGAACUUCGUAGGUCCACAAGGACAAGUUCCGCACCAGAGUGGUACGGCAACCCUGUCCUGGAAAUCAUGUUGUUAGACAACGGUGAACCUUCGAACUAUGAAGAAGCGAUGGCGGGCCCAGAUUCCGACAAAUGGCUAGAAGCCAUGAAAUCCGAGAUAGAAUCCAUGUAUGAAAACAAAGUAUGGACUUUGACUGACUUGCCCGAUGAAAGGCGAGCCAUAGAAAACAAAUGGAUCUUUAAGAAGAAGACGGACGCAGAUGGUAAUGUGACCAUCUACAAAGCUCGACUUGUCGCUAAGGGUUAUCGACAAGUUCAAGGGGUUGACUACGAUGAGACUUUCUCACCCGUAGCGAAGCUGAAGCCCGUCCGAAUCAUGUUAGCAAUUGCCGCAUACUAUGAUCAUGAGAUAUGGCAGAUGGACGUCAAAACGGCAUUCCUUAAUGGCUUCCUUAAGGAAGAGUUGUAUAUGAUGCAGCCGGAAGGUUUUGUCGAU